AUUGGACGCUGGCGGAAUGCUUUACACAUGCAAGUCGAACGGUAGAGGGGGCAACCCCUCGAGAGUGGCGAACGGGUGAGUAAUAUAUCUGAACGUGCCCAGUCGUGGGGGAUAACGUAGCGAAAGUUACUCUAAUACCGCAUACUACAUAAGGAUGAAAGCUGGGGAUCGCAAGACCUCGCGCUUUUGGAACGGCCGAUAUCAGAUGAGGUAGUUGGUGGGGUAAAGGCUCACCAAGCCAACGAUCUGUAGCUGGUCUGAGAGGACGACCAGCCACACUGGAACUGAGACACGGUCCAGACUCCUACGGGAGGCAGCAGUGGGGAAUUUUGGACAAUGGACGCAAGUCUGAUCCAGCCAUUCCGCGUGCAGGAUGAAGGCCCUCGGGUUGUAAACUGCUUUUGUACGGAACGAAAAGGUCUCUCUUAAUACGGGGGGCUCAUGACGGUACCGUAAGAAUAAGCACCGGCUAACUACGUGCCAGCCGCCGCAGUAA
rnacentral:rRNA from 1 species